rnacentral:misc_RNA from 1 species
AUGUAUACUCUGGAAUUGCUGCUCGAGUUCUUGAUAUUAUGAAGAGAGAUGCAGAUAAAGAUCCUGCAACUGAUCCAAAUGUGAUGCGUGCCAGGCUGUUAAUCAACCAGGUGGACAGAAAGUUGGUCAAGCAAACAGUGAUGACAUCAGUGUACGGUGUCACGUAUAUUGGUGCUCGUGACCAAAUUAAGAGAAGAUUGAAGGAGCGUGGUGCCAUUGAAGAUGAUAAUGAGUUGUUUGCAGCAGCGUGUUAUGCGGCAAAAACCACCUUGACUGCCUUAGGAGAGAUGUUUGAAGCAGCCAGAAGUAUCAUGAGUUGGCUUGGAGAUUGUGCAAAGAUUAUAGCCAUGGAAAACCAGCCUGUACGAUGG